AAUGGGUUGUUUGGACAUUUUUGAGUUCUUGUACUACUAACACAUUUGAUUUACAUAUUACAUCAGCCAAGUAAAAUUUGUUAUGUGUAUAAAAUGUUUAUUGUGCAACCUUACAGAACCAUUCAACUACGAGGCAGGAAAACGACACGGAGAACUGCCCAUAUUACAUCUCAAUCCUUAUAGCUGGUCCAAGGUUGAUAAUUCUAAAAUAAGUAUCCCCACCAAGAAUGCCAUUGGUUGAAAUACAGCUCCAUAGGAAACUUCUGGAGGAGUUGUUGGGUAAUAUGAGUCAUUCAUCAGCCCAGCUUCUUUGUGGGAAGCGUGGUCGUGAUGUACCAAAAUGAAGGCAUUUUCUUGUCAUUUGUUGUGAAAACAAAGCAAUUUUUUUGGAUUUGGUGACGACGUGUGGCCAUGAUGUACCAAAGCAGGACCUCAACAGCAAAUCACUUCU